GUCAGGAUGAACGCUAGCGGCAGGCUUAACACAUGCAAGUCGAGGGGCAGCGGGAUGUAGCAAUACAUUGCCGGCGACCGGCGGAUGGGUGCGUAACGCGUAUGCAACCUACCUUAUACAGGGGAAUAACCUUUCGAAAGGGAGACUAACACCCCAUAGGUAUUGAUUUAAGGCAUCUUAGAUUAAUUAAAUAUUUAUAGGUAUAAGAUGGGCAUGCGUAUGAUUAGCUAGUUGGUAAGGUAACGGCUUACCAAGGCGACGAUCAUUAGGGGUUCUGAGAGGAAGGUCCCCACACUGGUACUGAGACACGGACCAGACUCCUACGGGAGGCAGCAGUGAGGAAUAUUGGUCAAUGGGCGCAAGCCUGAACCAGCCAUGCCGCGUGCAAGGAAGACGGCCUUAUGGUUGUAAACUGCUUUUACAUAAGACUAACCGUAUAUUUGCGAAUAUACCUGAAUGUAUUAUGAGAAUAAGGAUCGGCUAACUCCGUGCCAGCCGCCGC
rnacentral:rRNA from 1 species